rnacentral:rRNA from 1 species
GCGGGGGGAGAACUAUAUUUUCUUAAUUAAAAACAACUCUGUGCAAUGGAGCACACGGCUCGUGCAUCGAUGAAGCCCGCGGCAAAAAGCGAUAUGUAAUGAGAUUCGUUAGCCUCGAGAUUCAUCAAAUUGGUGAACACAGUCUGGACCUCGCAAGAGGUACUUACGUUAGAGUGCUAGUUUUAUAUCAAUUGAUACUAGUAAAAGGUGUAUAAAUCUUUAGAUUUUUACGCUCUAGCUGGUUAUGCCGGAUUCUCUUUAAGAGAAACCGGAUUGAACCAUUUGAAAAAAUGGUCUCAAUCUUUUUUAUUUAACUAGCCUCUAAUGUGAGAGGGUACCCCCUGGAUUUAAGCAUAUUAAUAAGGGGAGGAAAAGAAAA